GGUGAUUGAUGUUGGAACCUUCUUUCACAAAGGAUCUAGAGGCCACUUAAAAUUUUAGGAUCUUUAGGAGUAACUUACCCAAACUAACCUUUGGUAUCAAUUGUAAUUAUUAAAUGGGAACUAAGAGGGAGGUGAAUCAGUUGUAGGGAAUGAUGGUCAAUUUUUCUGCUAUGAUAUCAAAAUAUUAUGUAGUAGAAAUGUUGCAGAAUGAUUACCAACCAAGAACGCCAAUUGAAAUAAAAAGAGUAUAGAGAAAAGAGAGAACACAAAUAUUUAUAUUGGUUCACCUUCUUAUCCACCGAAUGUUACGUCUACUACUCUUGCAGUACAAGAGAUUUCUUUACUAGAUAUCUUGAGUUAUAAUUACAAUUUCUCUCUUCGACACUCCUUGUACUUUACACACUCACAAAUACCUUACAACCUUGGAAAACAACAUUUCCAAGUACUUUCUUUCCCCUUCUCACCACACCCUUGUGAUAACAAGUUUUACAACAAUAUUGAAGCAACUUCAGAGAUAGUAUGAAAGUUUAGAACAAAAAAUGCAAGAAAAAAUGCAAAUAAUUUAAAAGUUUGAGUAAUUCGUGUAUUCAAGAUUGUUAGAAACACCUCGUCAUUGUUACAUGAAAGUUGUUCAGUCUAGAUUUUAAAAUCUAGUUAUAAUAAACACCAUAAUGUCACUUUCCAAUUCAUUUGACAUAAUUAGCUCUUCCUGGGUGCAGAAAAUGGCGGAUGAAAUAGUCCUUUACUGACAGUUCGAUUUUAUUUCCACAUACCUCUCCAAUUUCCCUAGUUGAAUGUACUUGAGGUUUCCUAGAGAAGUAUCUGAUCAGGCUUUGGUAAACAUGAACUUGCUCCACAAAAAGGUCUAUCACAGCCAACUCGGGUGAUGUUGCGUCUAACAUCCACACAAUCGUCCUUAAGCAUGACAAAGUCAAAGUGAUUCUCCACAGUAAUGCUAAUCUUGUAAAAGGUUCAUGAAGAUUCCAUUGAAUGAGUUUAUAUGAAAAAGGUUUAGCUUCUGAGAGUUUAUGUUUGAUGUAGCAUCCCUCCUUUCAACUCUUUGGCUAGAUAACUAUAAGAAUAGGUAUAAAUAUCUGUGUGUGUGCUUAUAAUGAUGAUAGAGAGGUGGUGGGGCUACUUUCACAUGGGCCACAAACUCCAGGGGUGUUGGGGAUGCUUUCUUUUCCCCAAUCUUUAAUGCGAAGUUUGUGUUUACUCAAUUGAGGUAUGAGGAUCUGAAUAUGACCUUAGAUCUUGACAAUCCCCUUAUUAAAUCCUCUGAUUUUGCAUUCUAAAGUUAAGUUCUAAGAGUAUGAUGAUCCAUGUAUGAUAACUUGGUUGUAUGAGUUCUAAACCUCCAAAUUGGUCAAGGAUUAUGUAGUUAUUUU
rnacentral:lncRNA from 1 species